rnacentral:lncRNA from 14 species
AUGAUUGUCCCAUUGCUUUUGAAAGAAACCAGAAAAGACCUUGGUUCAAGUCCAUUCUACUGCUUAAUCUAUGACAAGGAUUUCAUCCAGUGGGACUCAGAUAGCUCAGUUUCCUCAUCUAUCUGGAGAGACACGAGAAACUAA